AACGAACGCUGGCGACAGGCUUAACACAUGCAAGUCGAACGAUGUAGCAAUACAUAGUGGCGCACGGGUGAGUAACGCGUGGGAAUGUACCAUUUGGUGGGGAAUAACUCCGGGAAACUGGAGCUAAUACCGCAUACGCCCUUCGGGGGAAAGAUUUAUCGCCAAAUGAUCAGCCCGCGUGAGAUUAGGUAGUUGGUGGGGUAAUGGCCUACCAAGCCGACGAUCUCUAGCUGGUCUCAGAGGAUGAUCAGCCACACUGGAACUGAGACACGGUCCAGACUCCUACGGGAGGCAGCAGUGGGGAAUAUUGGGCAAUGGACGAAAGUCUGACCCAGCCAUGCCGCGUGAGUGAUGAAGGCUCUAGGGUUGUAAAGCUCUUUCGCCGAUGAAGAUAAUGACGGUAGUCGGAGAAGAAGCCCCGGCUAACUUCGUGCCAGCCGCCGCGGUAA
rnacentral:rRNA from 1 species